rnacentral:lncRNA from 1 species
UGGCCUUAAAUUUCUCAACCAUCUUGUCUCGAGGUGGCCAGCAGUCUUUUAUUACUGGAUCAUCAGAAAAGUUAUUCAUCCACGCUGAUAAUAGUGGGAACUUCUCUGCAUCUACUAAUUUCAGGUCAAUUAUCUCUUCCAGUAUGCUGAUCAAGUUGCUCAUCCACCCAAAUGCAAGAUCAAGAUAACCAAUGGCUCCCCUCCAAAAAAUCUCUUCCCUUUUAGCUGCCUUUCUAGCAAUUUCAGAUUCUCAGUGAAUGGACCAAUAGCUUCCUGUUGCUCUUUUCCUUGAGAGAUGAAGACACUCCAUGUUGAUGGCAUAACCUGCUUUUCACAAAGCAUAGGUGAGAUUACAUCUCUUACCAACACUACUAGCAUCUAAUAUUAUUACCUGCUGUGUGUGAAAUUCUAUAAUAAGAAUUGCCUAGACUAAUAGCAUCAAAUAUUGUUUUGAUCUUAUAGACUCUGAGGUAAAGAAAUUUGUAUAUACCUUGUCAUCUCCAAACUUGGCCCAAAACCGAGCCAUGGCUUUCUCGUAAGGAUCUUGGGGAAGAAGAGGAGGCUGCUUCCACAUGUCGUCUAUGUAUUCAAGAAUCACUAGGGACUCACAAACUGGCCUUCCAUUGUGCAGGAGAACAGGUACCUUCUUGUGCAGGGGAUUGUAUUCAAGGAGUGAAGCACUCUUUGUUGUCAGAUCCUCCAAUACUGUUUCGUACCCCAAGCCUUUGAUCUUCAACGCCUGCACCACCCUCAAAGCAUAAGGACUUGACCAUGUCCUCAGCAGCCUCAGUUCUUCUGCCAUUUUCCCCUUUGACAGAUGGUUAGUGCUUUUCGACUCUAUUUGUAGGGACUCUGUUUCCUUCGGCAUGUGUAUGUGUAUCAGAUUUGUACUGUCGAUGAUCUACAUGAAUGAUUUUUAUUAUCUGUUUGUAUUUUCUCAAUGAUUAUCCAAAUGAUGGGAUAGGGUCCGGCAUUUGUGUCGAUAAUUUUCAUGAUUUUGGCAGGCCUGAUAAUGGCUGAUGAGAAAUCAAACAUUUUGUUUGUCUUAUUCUUGAUCUGGAAGUAUUCCAUUGUCUGCCGUCUGCUUGAACUUCACUAUGAAUAUUUUUAGCAGGGUGUGUAUUGUGUAGGACGGUCAGUCAGGCAUGAUCCGAAUCCAAAUACUCCCUCCGUCCUCAUAAAAUAUAUCCAAUUUCCCAUUUUCGCCCGUCCUCAUAAAAUGCAUCCAGUCUAUUCAACUACUUUGUUAAAAUUGUGCCAUUUAGAAAUAGAUACUUUUUACAACGACGGAGGGAGUAUUACUAAACGCCAGCAAAAUUAUAAUUAAGUUAUUGACGAAUGCUGCACCUGAGAUAUUGUUUCUUAGAAGGGUCUGUUUUUCUUCUUAUUUCUAAAAAUGCUACAAAUUAAUGAGAUAACAUAGUCUCAGAUCAAAUUGACUCUUUUGCAUGUUUCACGACUUCCAUUAACACCAGCAAUGAGGAAAACACAUUUCACAAAAACAAACCAAGCCUGAAAUUUAUUGAACUUGCAUGACAACAUCAUGAGCCACUUCAUCUACAGGUAGCUCUCUUGUCAUUGAUGGGAGGAAAGUUCAGGUCGACAAUCGAGCUUCACGAAUGGCCGUAAAUUUCUCCACCAUCUUGUCUCGAGGUGGCAAAUCCUCAUUUAUCACCGGAUCAUCGGCGAAGUUGUUAAUCCAUGCUGAUAACGCUGGGAAUUUCUCUGCAUCUACUAAUUUCAGGUGAAUGAUCUCUUCCAGUAUGCCGAUCAAGUUGGCCAUCCACCCCAACGCAAGAUCAAGGUACCCAAUCCUCUCGCCUCCGAAGAAUUUCUUCCCUUUCAGCUGCUCUUCCAACAACUUCAGAUUCUCUGUCCAUGGACCAACGGCUCCCUCUUGCACUUCUCCUUGAGAGAGGAACACACUCCACAGCGAUGGUAUAACCUGUAAGAUUCAUUCAAAUUCUUUAGUUAAAUAACUAUUAUCGUACAAACUAUGAGGUGGUGUUGUACCUUUUCAUCACCGAACUUGGCCCAGAAGCGAGCCGUGGCUCUGUCGAGAGGGUGCUCGGGGAGGAGAGGAGACUGCUUCCAGACCUCAUCGAUGUAUUCGAGAAUGACGAGGGACUCGCAGAUGGCUUUGCCGUUGUGCAGCAGAACAGGUAUCUUCUUGUGUAUGGGAUUGUA